rnacentral:sRNA from 1 species
UGAAGUUGUUGCCGGUGUCGCGAUGUUG